rnacentral:rRNA from 1 species
AACGAACGCUGGCGGCAGGCUUAACACAUGCAAGUCGAGCGCCCCGCAAGGGGAUCGGCAGACGGGUGAGUAACGCGUGGGAAUCUGCCCAUCCCUACGGAACAACUCCGGGAAACUGGAGCUAAUACCGUAUACGCCCUUCGGGGGAAAGAUUUAUCGGGGAUGGAUGAGCCCGCGUUGGAUUAGCUAGUUGGUGGGGU